UCUGUAACCAUCGCAAACUAUCCCCCAUUGCCUUAGACUUCUCCUCAAUCAGUCCAUCCUGCUUCAGUCGCACAAAACUUUAUUUUCUCUUUCUUCUUCGGUGGGUAUUACGUUGGGUCGUUGGAGCUCAUAUAGGUCAUGAUUUUAUUUUUAUUUUUAUUUUUUAAAAAAUAAUUUAAAAAUUUCUUGUAUCAGUCGUUUUGAGAUUGAGUGUUCGGGUUUCUGGCCAAGACAUUAGGCGGGCCAUUGGGUCCAUAUUCUAAGAACAGUUAAACUUCCUGAUUUGAUCUGCUUUGGUUUUCGUGAUUUUCCUAGUUCUGAAUCAGUUAAUGGAUGGAUUUUCUUACGUAGACCUACCGUCUGGGGGCUUUCGCAAUGUAGUUGAGGAGUUUUUCUCAAACAUGUUCGGGCUGCAUUGGAAACCGGAGUAAUGAACUUAUUGCUCAUCGGUGAUCAAAUUUUGUUCUAAUCUAUAUUUGAGCUUGAAAUGCUUCAAAACACCUCAGAGAUCUCCGCCUUUGAAUAUCCAAAUUUAAACGCAGAACCACUGCUUUGGCGAGCGUAUUCCAAUUUCAACGUUUAUUUGCAGCGAGAAGGAAGGAGAUUCUUUAGUAUCUGGAAUGUUUAGUUUUUGCCGCGUGCUUUGGACUCCACGAAGCUAGCUUUGUAAAAUCUGAUUUGCCGUGUUUAGUUCAGAUGUAUGUACAGGGGAUUUAACUCGAUGCAACCUAAAUGCCAGUCGGAUGGUUCGUUUAUAGAAUGCCUAAUCAUAAGCAGAGUUCUUUCAUAUUCAUAAAUUGGGUGCAAACUCCACAUAUUCUUCGAAUAAUUUCAGUUGCUAAAUUGAUGAAUCGGGUGGCAUUCCCGAUGCCAUUUGGUGGGACGUGACUCGCAGGCGUGGGGAGCUGUUGUGAGGUACAGACGACAAAGGUGGAUAAUUUGAUUCGGCUGGUGAACAGGCUUGCAUUGCCCUUGGUGAUCACAGCAGUGUAGGAAUCAACACUAGGCGUCCGUUGAUUUUGCAGUUGCAGACAGGAGUAUGCAGAUUUCCUUCACAUGCCCGAAAAUCAGUUUGUUGCGAAUUUGACUCUCCUCCACCUGCCGGGUCUUACACACACACACACACACAUAUAUAUAUAUAUAUAUAUAUAUUAGCGCCUGCUUUUCCAGGUCCGUAUUAAAAGAAGCGACGUAAAUGUUAAUGAAUGUACGUUAUUUCUUGAAGAAUCUUCAGUUUCUGAGGAGUAUGUUGUGCAGAUAGUACAUCCGACAGCAUCGGCCAAGACAUUGUUAGCAUGGUCUGUUCUUGCAUUGAGAAGGUGCAACCAGUUUUACUGUCCUGUUCGUAGGCAUCAUCUUUCCGAUUUUGAGUGAGUUAUUUUUCAAGGAUGAAAAUGAAUUAUACAGCGGAUACUAUCUGUGUAGAUUUGAAAAUAUCAUCAAACUGCGGAAUUGCUGCUGUUGAGGGAAUAGAAUGUGCUGAAUGCUUGUGUCAUUGCAGCCAAAUUCAAUCGUUCUUGCUGUGUCUCCUGCAAAUCAAGGCAUCGCCACUUCAGAUGCUGUUUAGAUUGCCAGAGAAGUGGACCCUACUGGAUGUGGCAGCAUACUAACAUUUCUUGUUCGGUUCCUCUUUUAUCUUGCGGACUGCUUUGUGUUGAGCAUGAACCUACUUCUGAGGUUUGCGUUCAACAAGGACGUGGCAGCUAUGACAGUGGCCCAAUACUUAUUAAUUCCUCUGCAUGCGCUGUUUUACCUUAACUAUCAGCUCCGUGUGGGUCAUGGUUGGAGCAGAGCUUUUUCUAAGUUUCAUGGUUCGGUAAUGUGGGUGUGAAUUUGCAGGAGAGAUAACUUUUGGUGUUCUCACGAAGUUGGAUCUGAAGGACAAGGGAACGUAUGCCCUUGAUGUAAAUGAGGACUGGUUAAUGGGUGGAAUGAACAUGUGAUCUGAAGUUGGUUUUACUUGAAGGUCUCGGUGACGAGCGGACAUGGCAUCACAUGCACUCUUCGUCAAGACAAGUUGGGUGUGGGCGGUAAAACCUUCGAAGUCCAUCUGGAUGGAGCGGCAAGACCAUUGUCACUGGUGUUUUUGGUUCGAGAUUUGAACGAUGCGACCCACUCGUUGCUUGAGUAGCGCUGCAGUAAUGCAUGGAUUUUUCAAGCCUCUGACUAUGAGAAUGUCCGAGGGAUUGUAUCGGAGGCCUAUGGUAACCAGCUCAUCUUGUAGCUCCGGAACAAGGUCGAGGGCCGCUCAUUAAACGUUCGCUGCAAUUUUUCAGGGGCCCAGCGGAGCCAGUACCGGAUGCAGAACUCAAGGGGUUUCCAUUACUCCAAACGAUUCGAUUCUGGCUGGGUUUCGCUGUGGCAGGUCCCAAUGUGGCAGCGUACGUUGGCAUGGUUUGCAAUCAGCUGAGGAACUCUAUGCUCAAAGCUGCUGUCCACUGUUAAGUUCGUGAAGCGGAGCGGUCAUUGAUGGACCAUUUUUACACUCAAAUAGGCAAGCGGGAGGGAAAGCAAUUGUCAGCGAUGCUGGACGAGGACCCUGCUUUGAUGGAACGUAGAGUUCAGCUGUCGAAGAGGCUCGAGCUUUACGAGCAAGCCAGGGACGAGAUUGAUUCUGUUGAUUGCAUGUAGACCAAUUGGUAACGAGAGAAGCCUGGUGCAACUUCAGCGGAGCUUUGAACGCAUGGUGUGAAAUUGGUCAGGACACAAGUAGGGCCUGCCACAGGUAGUCUCAGGCAUUGAAAUGGAGCCAGAUAGCACGCGAUGCUGGCAUUACGCAAACCUGAGCCCUCCAUAGCAGCUGAUUUCCGUGUGCAGCCUAGGAACUCCCAACUUAUGUACUUGUAUCCGUCAUCCCUGUUUUGUUUUAUUUUUUAUAUUUAUAUUUUUGCUUUUUUUGCUUUUUUGCUAACUCUUCUUUCCGAAAUAGAAAAAUAGCAGAACUGAAGACCUGCAGCGUUCCAUCUUGGUGGUGAGUAGGAGACACUCAAGUCAAAGUAGACUCUGAUUUGCUUCAAAUUGUGCUGGUUUCCUGCAAAGUGGACUCGUGCUCUUGUUUGGAGGCACACCCAUCUUAGUCUGGAUCUUUUGUGAGGUGACAUUAUUUUUCAUGUCUGUGAUGGAUUGUGGCAUAUCUGGCUUGGUAUAUUCGCUCCUUUGGUUGAGGUUGGUGGUGCGUCACAACAUUGACUUCAAUGAGCUCCAACAGAGAAUCUACUUGAAACCAACCUCAUUGUUCCUCUUAGUCACUGGAAAGUGCAAAGUUUUGUGCAACUUGGUACUUUUUCAUGUGUUGCCACCCCAGUUUGAUUUGUACGUUUUUAGUUUUAGUUCCAAUUUAAAUGUGUAGAAUGAGCUGAGAACGUAGUAACAUAUAAAAACUGCAUUUAAUUAAAGCAUCAUUAGUCUG